UACGGGGGGGAGCAAGCGUUGUUCGGAUUUACUGGGCGUAAAGGGCGCGUAGGCGGCCACCGCAAGUCGGUUGUGAAAUCUCCGGGCUUAACCCGGAAAGGUCAACCGAUACUGCGGGGCUAGAGUGCAGAAGGGGCAACCGGAAUUCUCGGUGUAGCGGUGAAAUGCGUAGAUAUCGAGAGGAACACCUGCGGCGAAGGCGGGUUGCUGGGCUGACACUGACGCUGAGGCGCGAAAGCCAGGGGAGCGAACGGG
rnacentral:rRNA from 1 species